rnacentral:lncRNA from 1 species
AAUUUUUCAGCAAAAAAAGAGAGGAAAGAACUCAACUUUAUUAUUUUAUAAGUGUACGAAUGGGAUUCGAUUUCUGGUUUAGACCAAUCAUGUGUCUCGAGUAUUAGGUCAAAUUCCAGAUAAGGUCUACUCUCGUAUAUGAGUUUGAAAAAACUGUCAUCUGUAGUGUUAACAGGAAAAUCUCAAUCACUUUGACCGGCCUCAAACCUUCAGUUUCCGCAUUUUAUUCCGGGCAGCUAUGCAUUAUCUUUAUGUAUAUAAUUCUUUGGUGCGUCUGUUAGUGAUCGUUGUCAACACAUUAUGGCGCAUCUACCGGAACGGACCGGACAACGUUUGCCGUGCCAGCUAGUACCUACAUAAAAUAACCGAGAGUGAAGAAUCUCUGUAGAUUGGAAGUAUUGAUUUUUAUAUUACUCAUCUUCCCGCACUAAUUGCAUAAAAGAAAAUGAAUCAGCAAGACGGAGGAAUUUUUUUUAGUGUGUUCCUUUAAUUAGUGAAAGUGUCUUUUCUUAGUAAGUAAAAAAAGUAACUCGUAGCGCAAUUACGAUCAAUCUAUUAUAAUACAAUUACAAAAAUAUGACAAUGAACAAAGUGUAGAAGCGCGUUAGAUUAUACAUCUAAUAAAUUACUUAAAUAUCGUAGGUGUAUUAUGCAAGUACAGUACGUAUGUAAAGUACAAUUACACACAGUCGGAACGAUCCUGUUCCAUGUUUUGUGUCACAGCGCUGCAAAUGUACACAAUAUUACAUUUUGUAUACAGUAAAACCAGUCUCAUUCCGGAUCAAGAUUUACAAU